GACGAACGCUGGCGGCGUGCUUAACACAUGCAAGUCGAACGGAAAGGCCCUGCUUUUGUGGGGUGCUCGAGGGGCGAACGGGUGAGUAACACGUGAGUAACCUGCCCUUGACUUUGGGAUAACUUCAGGAAACUGGGGCUAAUACCGGAUAGGAGCUCCUGCUGCAUGGUGGGGGUUGGAAAGUUUCGGCGGUUGGGGAUGGACUCGCGGCUUAUCAGCUUGUUGGUGGGGUAGUGGCUUACCAAGGCUUUGACGGGUAGCCGGCCUGAGAGGGUGACCGGCCACAUUGGGACUGAGAUACGGCCCAGACUCCUACGUGAGGCAGCAGUGGGGAAUAUUGCACAAUGGGCGGAAGCCUGAUGCAGCAACGCCGCGUGCGGGAUGACGGCCUUCGGGUUGUAAACCGCUUUCGCCUGUGACGAAGCGUGAGUGACGGUAAUGGGUAAAGAAGCACCGGCUAACUACGUG
rnacentral:rRNA from 1 species